ensembl:lncRNA MELTF-AS1 MELTF antisense RNA 1
UCUGCCGUGGCCCCAGAUCCUCCCCGCGCCGCCGUUUUGAGCGUUCACACUCAUUACCCAGAUAUCUCCCCACAAACCUAAACAAUUUCGAGAGGGACUUGUGUUCUGCAACCAGUCACAGAAUAUCAGGUGAGCUGGGCGUGUCUUCACUGACCCACCCGCCCAGGGAUGCUGCACUCCUCUCCACCCUGCUCAGAAUCACUAGAAUGACCGUUCUGUGGCUACAGCCCUAAAAGAGCUACUAAAAAGACCAGAAGUAGUAUGAGAACUUAUGAAUACGAAUAUAAAUAAAGGACAUCUGGAGAA